GGGGAUAGUUUUUCCAGACUCUUACUCUUUUUCUACCUCUGAGCUCUUUUUUGAACCUUUGUGUAGUCUUCAACUUCAAAUCCACAAAAGCAAUGGCUGCGGAUGAUCCAUCUAAUACUUUGCUCUUUUCUUUGGACAUACAAAUCUUUGUAGGUAUCUGUUUAAAUCAGAAGCUCUCAGUCUUGGCUGAGCAUUAGAAUCACUUAAGGGAGCUCUUAAAGAUCCUGAUGCUGAGACCACACCCAAGACCAGUUAAAUCCGAAUCUCUAUGGGUGAUAACAAGGUGACUGCAGUGAGCAUCCGAGGCGGAAACCACUAAUUUAAGUCAUUCUUUCACGGACGUUUCCUGUAUAUCCAUUUCACCGGUGGCCUGCUCCAGCUUUCACUCGUCCAGCCGGUUUGGCACUCAUUCCCAAAUGUCACCUCAUCAUCGGCCUCUACUAUGGAAGCUGAAGAAUUUAAAUGGUCUCUCUCCCAGACUCCCUUGAAGGUGGAGGAGCUGCUCAUGAUACAGUUUGUGGUCAAUGGCAAGAAGUGUCUAUGUGAGCCACCCAAUUAUCCAGGUGUUUCCAAUAGUAACUUAGUCAAUUCAGAUGCUUCUGGACUUGUUAUCCUGUGUCAUUUCUAACUGGUGCCAAUUUUUGACAAAUGAUAGCAGCAAGAUGUGGUGUGCUACCUCAGGUUCUUAUUUUCCCUGGGUGUUUGGAUAUAAUAAUUUUAGAGACGGCCACAUUGCUAAUGAGUCUUGCCCUCCGGAGCUCAGCACAGAGGGGGCCCUCACUAGCCUAUCAGAUGCUUUCUUUGAAAAUGGUGGAAGUGUGAGAGAGUAAGAUGAAUGGAUAUUUGUGUAUCAUAUUCUUUGAGAAUUGAAUAGAGGAUUUAUGGUGUUCCCUGACUUGACACACUUCACACUUGUCAUGUUGGCACAUUGCAUUAUACUCUGCUGCCCAUGGGGCUUUUGAUGAUGUUUCAGAGAUAGGUAAUAGUGCCUUUGUGCUGUAUCCAUACAUUUGUGGAGAAAGAUCCAAUAUUAAAAACAAAGGUACAGUGGAAGCCAUCCCUAUCAACCAAAUGCAAAUGCUUACCUCUGCUCUGUCUUGUAUUUCCAAUGCCUUACUUAGACACAUGUAGCCCUUCUCCAGCUAGAGAUGAUCCACAUAGAGUUACAAUGUAACCCAUAAUCAGUGCUAUUUCUGUAUGCACGUUUUAAUAUUCACUUGGGGUAACAACAAUGAGUGACUACUACUAUGGCAGCUACAGUACAAUACAAAGAACACUGGAUUAGGUAUCAUGAACUCUCUGUUCUGACCCUAACAUGACUAUAGACCUGCUGUAUAUGGGUUUAGAUGACUCUCUUAUGGUGAUAUACCAAUUGCCUCACCUAUCACAUGGGCAUUAGAAUUCCUGUCUAGCCUACGUCUCAGAAGGAAAACAUGAGAACUCAUUUUGAAAAGUAUGGAAGUGACAGAAAAACCCCUAUGUGAUUUGAUGGGGCAGCUGGAAUACAAAUGUAUUUGCCCUUAGUUUUACAGAAAGAGAAAUAGAGCCUUUAAUAGGGGGAUUUUCCCAAGAAGCACAGUAAGUGAUGGACAGAGAAGGUCUGGAUGCCUGUUAUGCUCCUUUAGUUGAAGAACCCUGAGAUUACUACCCCUGGCCCAUGUUCAAAAGGUUACUGCAUACCUUGGCAGAGAGAAACUGGCAACAGCUAUGCUGCAUUCAAGGGGUAACACCAGCUUCAUCAGAGUCCACCUCAAACGAUCUGGAAUCAAGGGAGAAGUCCUGAAAACCUAAAGGAACAUCACAGGAAGUGGUGGUGGUAAAGAUAGGACUGUGAAUUUCUAGACCCACCAGUAUCGAAGUCUUAGUCAUCUGUUGCCCAGUUGCCCAGUGUGUGAGGUGUGGUGCUCCUUCGUGUACCUUCUUGUACUGCAGAAGCCAGAAGGCAAAAACCUGCACUUCCCAGAAUCCAUUGCAGCCAGAAUGUGACUUAACGUUGGCCAACCUGAUCCAGGCAAGAUUUGGAAUGCGGAAGUGAAGUGGAGACCUCAUUUCUGCUGCCUAUGAAAUUUUUCUCUAGAAUGUUCAGUUCCAAAAUAGACUACCUGCAUCCAAGUCCUUUUCUCAGGCAUUGCUUUCAAGAAAACGCAAACUGUGACAGUGUGGUUCCAUUUGUGUGCAAUUCAAAAACAGGUAAUAUUAAGUAUCAUAUAGGGAGAUACGCAUGUGAGAUAAACUAUGAAGAAAACCAAGAGAAUGGUUAAUAUACGAUUAAUGUAAUAUGCUCACCCCUGGGAGAAGAGAAAGAGCUAUAUUCUGGGUAGGACAUACAGUGGUUUCAAAGGUGCUGGUCAUGUUUUAUUCUUUAAUUUGUGUAUUAGGUACAUACACCUGUUUCAUUAUCUUUUUAAAUUUUUGGUUCUCAACUUUUUAGUCUCAGGAAUCCAGUAUACCCUUAAAAAUUAUUGCAAAUUUCAAAGGACUUCUGUUAAUGUGAGUUUUAGCUAAUGAUAUUUACUGUAUUCAAAAUGAAAACUGAGCUUUUGUGUUUAUUUAUUUGAAAAGUAUAGUAAUAAGCUCAUUACCUGGUAACAUAAAUAAUAGAUUUUUAUGAAAAUAACUAUUUUCCAAAACAAACACCAAACAAAGCAAAACAAAACUGAGGAAAGUGAAAUCACUUUUCAUUUUCCAAAUCUCUUUAAUGGCUGAUUAAAUAAAAGACAGCUAGAGUCUUAUAUCUGCUCUGUCUUUCUAGUGAGUCUAUCGAAUUAUACAAUUUGAAGAAUAUGAAGCAAUUUGAUGCAGUUAGAAAAUGGACGAGUAUUUUAGUAGCUUUUUAAAAAAAUUUAACUGUGUAUAUUCUUUGAUACUACAUCCAAACUUGAGAAGUGGUAAUUUCUAAAAGGUUAGUUGUAGUAUAGUAUCUGAAACUAUAUCAUUGAACUUUUAAUACAGUGUUACAGUGAAAUCCAUUGGUUGUCUUGCACUUUGAAUGGAUCUUUUACCCAUGAACUAUUUUAUGACAUCAUGCAUUGGUCAUUUGGAAACUAAUGGUUCACUAAGUUAUGCAGAUCUAAACAUUGCCACAUUUCUUUCUACAUAAAAAAAAGUCACAUUCAUCAAUAACCACCAAUGUCAUCAAAAAAGUCUUUAAAUAUUGGGAACCAUCAAGCCCAUAAUGUUGAAUACAGGUCUUCCAAAAUUCUAAUUAUUUGCUUGAAAGCUCAGGUUCUGCAAUUUGCAACCAAUACUGUCAGUUGUUUUUCUUGAAGUGACAGGCUCACUUGGUUCCUGCUUAAGAAAAUGUCUGCCAGAUGUCCAUGCCUAAAUAAUCAUAGUCGUCUGUCAGUCGUUCUUUCCAGUACAAAUCAUGCUAUUUGAGCAAAGCAGCUAGUUCAGCUCACAACACAAACAGCUACACAGUGCUUCCCCUCAAGACAACCGUCAUACUUCCCCUGGGUCGCAGAACUGCUUGUGCCUGUGUCCCAUCUCAUUAUGUGUUCCUGAGUCAAGAUUUGGUAAAGUUAAUAAUUUUUACAGCCUUAUCAAGGACAUUCUUAAGUGAAGCUGGCAUUCUUCUAUCUGAACAUGUGUACUGAUGGAGAAUAUAGUGACUACAAAUUCGUUUGGUGCCACUGCUUGGGUUC